rnacentral:rRNA from 1 species
UACAGAGGUCUCAAGCGUUGUUCGGAUUCAUUGGGCGUAAAGGGUGCGUAGGCGGCGCGGUAAGUCGGGUGUGGAAUCUCGGGGCUUAACUCCGAAACUGCAUUCGAUACUGCCGUGCUUGAGGACUGGAGAGGAGACUGGAAUUUACGGUGUAGCGGUGAAAUGCGUAGAUAUCAGGAGGAACACCGGUGGCGAAGGCGGCCCUCUGGACGGUGACUGACGCUGAGACGCGAAAGCGUGGGGAUCAAACAGG